GUAGGUGAACCUGCGGAAGGAUCAUUAUUGAUUGUGAAUGGUUGCCUUCAGUGCUGGCUCCGGCAAGUGCACGCUGGUGACUUCAAUCCAAUACCCUUGUGAACCAUUGGCCUCUUGCUAGCUUCGGCUGGUAGAGGAUAUUUACACCAACUCGAAUGUAAUGAAAUUAUUGUUGUGCGCAAGCACUAAUGUACAACUUUCAACAACGGAUCUCUUGGCUCUCGCAUCGAUGAAGAACGCAGCGAAAUGCGAUAAGUAAUGUGAAUUGCAGAAUUCAGUGAAUCAUCGAAUCUUUGAACGCACCUUGCACCCUUUGGCAUUCCGAAGGGUAUGCUCGUUUGAGUGUCAUUGUACUCUCACACUUCCAAUUCUAUGGAUUGGGAGCGGUGGACUUGGGCGCUGCUGCUUUACUGUGGCUCACCUCAAAUGCAUUAGUGCAACCCUUGGUUAGACAUAGUACGGCGUGAUAAGUGUCUUCGCUGGCGCCUCACUUAGAGGGUGGCUGAUCAGGGGCUCUGUGCUUCAAACCGUCUUUGGACAAUGGCUGACAACUUGACCUCAAAUCGAGUAGGACUACCCGCUGAACUUAAGCAUAUCAAUAAGCGGAGGAAAAGAAACUAACAAGGAUUCCCCUAGUAACGGCGAGUGAAGAGGGAAGAGCUCAAAUUUUGAAUCUGGCGUCUUUGGCGUCCGAAUUGUAAUCUAGAGAAGUGUUUUCCGUGACGGACCGUGCAUAAGUCUCCUGGAAUGGAGUGUCAUAGAGGGUGAGAAUCCCGUAUAUGGCACGGACUCCCGUUGCUCUGUGAUACACUCUCGACGAGUCGAGUUGUUUGGGAAUGCAGCUCCAAAUGGGUGGUAAAUGCCAUCUAAAGCUAAAUAUUGGCGAGAGACCGAUAGCGAACAAGUACCGUGAGGGAAAGAUGAAAAGCACUUUGGAAAGAGAGUGAAACAGUACGUGAAAUUGUUGAAAGGGAAACGCUUGAAGUCAGUCGCGCCGUUCGGGAUUCAGCCUUGCUUCUGCUCGGUUUACUUCCCGUUGGGUGGGUCAACAUCAGUUCUAGACGGAGGAGAAAGGCUUGGGGAAGGUAGCAGCAUUCGUGCUGUGUUAUAGCCCCUUGUUGUAUACUUCGAUUGGGACUGAGGACUGCAGCACGCCUUUGGCCGGGGUUCGCCCACGUACGUGCUUAGGAUGUUGGCAUAAUGGCUUUAAGCGACCCGUCUUG
rnacentral:rRNA from 1 species